rnacentral:rRNA from 1 species
AGGACGAACGCUGGCGGCGUGCUUAACACAUGCAAGUCGAGCGGAAAGGCCCUUCGGGGUACUCGAGCGGCGAACGGGUGAGUAACACGUGAGUAAUCUGCCCCUAGCUCUGGGAUAGCUCCGGGAAACCGGGAUUAAUACCAGAUACGACCACUUUAGACAUCUGUUGUGGUGGAAAGAAUUUCGGCUAGGGAUGAGCUCGCGGCCUAUCAGCUUGUUGGUGGGGUAACGGCCUACCAAGGCGACGACGGGUAGCCGGCCUGAGAGGGCGACCGGCCACACUGGGACUGAGACACGGCCCAGACUCCUACGGGAGGCAGCAGUGGGGAAUAUUGCGCAAUGGGCGAAAGCCUGACGCAGCGACGCCGCGUGGGGGAUGAAGGCCUUCGGGUUGUAACCCCUUUCAGCAGGGACGAAGCGAAAGUGACGGUACCUGCAGAAGAAGCGCGGCUAACUACGCGCCAGCAGCCGC